CGGAGCUUGGAGCAUCCAAAGGUUCACUCCUUCCGCCAUCAGCGGCCGACGCGAUGAGGCAGCCGAGGCCGCCCAAGAGAGGAGGACGCCGGAUCGACGCCGCCAUUCACGACCUCGCCCAGUACGGCUUCGCCGAGCCCCAAAUCCGCAAGAUCAUCAAAACGAACUCCUGCAGCAGGAUCAGGUGAGCUCCGUUUUCUUCGGCCCUGUUUGGUUUCCUCUGGAUGAAGAUGGUUCCACCAUAACUGAUGAAUGAUGAACUCAUCAAGCGAAGAUGAAUGACUCAUGCCUCCAGUUGCCUACCUAUUUGAUCCAGGAAAAAACUCUAUAAUAAUGUUAUCUGUUUGGAGGCCUACUGUUAUUUGUUUGGAGGACUAUGGAUGUUGACUUGCUGUUUUGCACUUGUAUUGAACUUGGAGUGCUUCACCUGUGGUGUUUCUCUUA